GGGUAAACCUGAGAAACCCGAAAGGUCGAAAGGGGAAAUUCAUUCGCGUUUCGGCUGUCGGAGUUGGAUGUUCGUGUGACGGAUGACGUUCACGUCGUUUGCACCUUACGUCUUUCGAAUCGACGUCGAACGCGUGCACUUUUCCUCUAGUAGGACGUCGCGAUCCGUUGGGUGUCUGUCUAAGACUCGGGGUGGAGUCCACGUGGCUUUUGGUCGCGUGAACCCUCGAUGUGCCGACAGACUCGCUCGACGGUAUGCUAAUGGCGCGGGGCCGCUACUCAGUUAGCGUUCGGCCCGUGGCAAGCACGUUCUGUGUUUGACGGCGAUCGGACCUGGUGCCGAUUCUGUCCCGGAACGACUGUUGGCUACGGUGUUCUCGAACAGACCUCGUUGAAACGCCGAUCA
rnacentral:rRNA from 1 species